AGCAGCCGCGGUAAUUCCAGCUCCAAUAGCGUAUAUUAAAGUUGUUGCAGUUAAAAAGCUCGUAGUUGAAUUUCGGAGUUUAUCCGUCGGUCGGGCUUUUGGGUCUGUACUGGCGUGAUGGAUUCCUACCUUCUGAAUAACCGGCAUGCCAUUAAUUUGGUGCGCCGGGGAAGCAGGACUGUUACCUUGAAAAAAUUAGAGUGCUUAAAGCAGGCUAUUGCCUGAAUACAUUAGCAUGGAAUAAUGAAAUAGGACGGCAUGGUUCUAUUUUGUUGGUUUCUAGGAUCACCGUAAUGAUUAAUAGGGAUAGUUGGGGGCAUUAGUAUUCAAUUGUCAGAGGUGAAAUUCUUGGAUUUAUUGAAGACUAACUUCUGCGAAAGCAUUUGCCAAGGAUGUUUUCAUUAAUCAAGAACGAAAGUUAGGGGAUCGAAGACGAAUCAGAUACCGUC
rnacentral:rRNA from 1 species